rnacentral:lncRNA from 1 species
GUUUCCAGUCUGUGGACUGCGGGAAACUCUACAGCUUUCUUCAACAAAGCAACAGAAAGGGAGAGAAAAAGAGAAGCAGCAGCAAUGUCGUUGGGCAGCCUGGGGUUCGGGAGGUGAGUUGAUGGGUUUGGAGAAGGCAUGUGCUGACUACGGGCUUCCCUGGGAAACAGAUUCUGGGUGGAGAUGAGCUUGCAGGUUGUCUUUCAGGGAGUGCCCUCAGGAUCAUCUCUAUGAGGAGAGAGGAGUGAGAGAAGCAGGGACCCGAUGUCUCACUGUGUUGCCCAGGCUAUUCUCAAACUCCUGGGCUGAAGAGAUCCUCCUGCCUUGGCCUCCCAAAGUCUUGGGAUUACAGG